rnacentral:tRNA from 1 species
UGGCUCAGUUGGUAGAGCAUGGUGUUUGCAACGCCAGGGUUGUGGGUUCAAUUCACAC